GAUGAACGCUGGCGGCGUGCCUAAUACAUGCAAGUCGAGCGAACAGAUGAGGAGCUUGCUCCUCUGACUUUAUCGGCGGACGGGUGAGUAACACGUGGAUAACCUACCUAUAAGACUGGGAUAACUUCGGGAAACCGGAGCUAAUACCGGAUAAUAUAUUGAACCGCAUGGUUCAAUAGUGAAAGACGGUUUUGCUGUCACUUAUAGAUGGAUCCGCGCCGCAUUAGCUAGUUGGUAAGGUAACGGCUUACCAAGGCAACGAUGCGUAGCCGACCUGAGAGGGUGAACCGCCACAUGGGCACUGAGACAGGGCAGCGACUCCUACGGGAAGAAGCAGUAGGGAAUCCUCCGCAAUGGGCGAAAGCCUGACGGAGCAACGCCGCGUGAGUGAUGAAGGUCUAAGGAUCGGAAAACUCUGAUAUUAGGGAAGAACAAAUGUGUAAGUACCUAUGCACGUCUUGACGGUACCUAAUCAGAAAGCCACGGCUAACUACGUG
rnacentral:rRNA from 1 species